UCACGGUCUCCGUCGAAGAGUCCGUGAGGACCGACGCGUAUAACUUCCAUUCACUAUUCACUGUCCGGGAUCCACGUAUACCCUGUAUCGUACCAGUGUGGAGCGUCUAACUAUUUCGAAAACUGCACGAGACACGGGUAAAAUUGUUUAUACGAAUCGUAAAAGUAAAAGUACACGAAACAGCGGGACACUCUUUUUCCGCGACGCGUGCAAAGGACCUUAAAAUAAAUUUGUGUUAAAUGCAAGGUUGUUCCGCAAGAAUAACGCAACGACGAAUCAACUAAAUUUCGUAAAUGUUUAUUGAAAAAUACUGUUAUAUGCAUAUCGCUGUUAAUGAAAUUACAUAAAGAUUAAUUAAGCAUAAAAUCAUAUCGAUUCGAUGCGCGACCUUGAGUAUCUGAAUCGUGAUCAAAAUAAACCGAACAAAAUAAUGUUUA